rnacentral:rRNA from 1 species
UCGGAAGUGAAACGCAGCUGCGCCGAUGGUAGUGUGGCUCAAGCCAUGCGAGAGUAGGUCAUCGCCAGGG